GCCCGGAUAGCUCAGUCGGUAGAGCAUGAGACUCUUAAUCUCAGGGUAUUAACGUAAUAAUUAUGUUCUGACG